rnacentral:rRNA from 1 species
CCUACGGGUGGCAGCAGUGAGGAAUAUUGGUCAAUGGCCGGAAGGCUGAACCAGCCAAGCCGCGUGAAGGACGAAGGUGCCAAGCAUUGUAAACUUCUUUUGUCAAGGGACAAAAUCAGGCUCGAGAGCCUGACCGAGGGUACUCGAAGAAAAAGCAUCGGCUAACUCCGUGCCAGCAGCCGCGGUAAUACGGAGGAUGCGAGCGUUAUCCGGAUUUAUUGGGUUGAAAGGGUGCGUAGGCGGACUGUUAAGUCAGCGGUAAAAUCCAGGGGCUCAACCCCGGCGAGCCGUUGAAACUGGCUGUAUUGAGAUGUCGAGAGGUAUGCGGAAUGCGCGGUGUAGCGGUGAAAUGCUUAGAUAUUGCGCAGAACUACGAUUGCGAAGGCAGCAUACCGGCGGCGAUCUGACGCUGAGGCACGAAAGCGUGGGUAUCGAACAGGAUUAGAUACCCGUGUAGUC